rnacentral:rRNA from 1 species
UAAUACGGAGGGUGCAAGCGUUAAUCGGAAUUACUGGGCGUAAAGCGCACGCAGGCGGUUUGUUAAGUCAGAUGUGAAAUCCCCGCGCUUAACGUGGGAACUGCAUUUGAAACUGGCAAGCUAGAGUCUUGUAGAGGGGGGUAGAAUUCCAGGUGUAGCGGUGAAAUGCGUAGAGAUCUGGAGGAAUACCGGUGGCGAAGGCGGCCCCCUGGACAAAGACUGACGCUCAGGUGCGAAAGCGUGGGGAGCAAACAGGAUUAGAUACCCUGGUAGUCCACGCUGUAAACGAUGUCGACUUGGAGGUUGUGCCCUUGAGGCGUGGCUUCCGGAGCUAACGCGUUAAGUCGACCGCCUGGGGAGUACGGCCGCAAGGUUA